rnacentral:rRNA from 1 species
AUUGAACGCUGGCGGCAGGCCUAACACAUGCAAGUCGAGCGGAUGAAGGGGGCUUGCUCCUGGAUUCAGCGGCGGACGGGGGAGUAAUGCCUAGGAAUCUGCCUGGUAGUGGGGGAUAACGUCCGGAAACGGGCGCUAAUACCGCAUACGUCCUGAGGGAGAAAGAGGGGGAUCUUCGGAGCUCACGCUAUAAGAUGAUCCUAGGUCGGAGUAGCUAGUUGGUGGGGUAAAGGCCUACCAAGGCGACGAUCCGUAACUGGUCUGAGAGGAUGAUCAGUCACACUGCAAGUGAGACACGGUCCAGACUCCUACGCGAGGCAGCAGUGGGGAAUAUUGGACUAUGGGCGAAAGCCUGAUCCAGCCAUGCCGCGUGUGUGAAGAAGGUCUUCGGCUUGUAAAGCACUUUAAGUUGGGAGGAAGGGCAGUACGUUAAUAACUUGCUGUUUUGACGUUACCAACAGAAUAAGCACCGGCUAACUUCGUG